AAUCAACGCUGGCGGCGUGCCUAACACAUGCAAGUCGCACGAGAAAGGGACUUCGGUCCUGAGUACAGUGGCGCACGGGUGAGUAACACGUGAAUAAUCUACCUCCGAGUGGGGAAUAACUGAGAGAAAUCUUAGCUAAUACCGCAUAACACUUACGAGUCAAAGCAGCAAUGCGCUUGGAGAGGAGUUCGCGGCAGAUUAGUUAGUUGGCAGGGUAAUGGCCACCAAGACGAUGAUCUGUAUCCGGCCUGAGAGGGCGCACGGACACACUGGGACUGAAACACGGUCCAGACUCCUACGGGAGGCAGCAGUGGGGAAUUUUGCGCAAUGGGGGAAACCCUGACGCAGCAACGCCGCGUGGAGGAUGAAAUCCCUUGGGAUGUAAACUCCUUUCGAUCGGGAAGAUAAUGACGGUACCGAGAGAAGAAGCCCCGGCUAACUUCGUGCCAGCCGCCGCAGU
rnacentral:rRNA from 1 species